rnacentral:rRNA from 1 species
CUAAGCCAUGCAAGUCGAAAGAGUUUAGACUCUUGGCGUACGGCUCAGUAACACGUGGAUAACCUACCCUUAGGACCGGGAUAACCUUGGGAAACUGAGGAUAAUACUGGAUAGGCAAUUUUUCCUGUAAUGGUUUUUUGUUUAAAUGUUUUUUCGCCUAAGGAUGGGUCUGCGGCCGAUUAGGUAGUUGGUUAGGUAAUGGCUUACCAAGCCGUUGAUCGGUACGGGUUGUGAGAGCAAGAGCCCGGAGAUGGAACCUGAGACAAGGUUCCAGGCCCUACGGGGUGCAGCAGGCGCGAAACCUCCGCAAUGUGAGAAAUCGCGACGGGGGGAUCCCAAGUGCCAUUCUUAACGGGAUGGCUUUUCAUUAGUGUAAAGAGCUUUUGGAAUAAGAGCUGGGCAAGACCGGUGCCAGCCGCCGCGGUAACACCGGCAGCUCUAGUGGUAGCAAUUUUUAUUGGGCCUAAAGCGUCCGUAGCCGGUUUAAUAAGUCUCUGGUGAAAUCCCGUAGCUUAACUGUGGGAAUUGCUGGAGAUACUAUUAGACUUGAGACCGGGAGAGGUUAGAGGUACUCCCAGGGUAGAGGUGAAAUUCUGUAAUCCUGGGAGGACCGCCUGUUGCGAAGGCGUCUAGCUGGAACGGGUCUGACGGUGAGGGACGAAAGUUAGGGGCGCGAACCGGAUUAGAUACCCGGGUAGUCCUAACUGUAAACGAUGCGGACUUGGUGUUGGGAUGGCUUUGAGCUGCUUCAGUGCCGAAGGGAAGCUGUUAAGUCCGCCGCCUGGGAAGUACGGUCGCAAGACUGAAACUUAAAGGAAUUGGCGGGGGAGCACCACAACACGUGGAGCCUGCGGUUUAAUUGGAUUCAACGCCGGACAUCUCACCAGAGGCGACAGCUGUAUGAUAGCCAGGUUGAUGACUUUGCUUGACUAGCUGAGAGGUGGUGCAUGGCC